rnacentral:misc_RNA from 1 species
UGGAAAUGUAAAUUAUAAAAAGCAUAUCCUAUUUAUAAUGUGAGAAGUAGACCCGUGAACAGGUCAGUCAAGGGCUAUGACUUACUGCUUAACCCAGUAUGAAAGCAUUUCGAAUCUCCAUUUUCUUAAUUUUCACAACAAAAGACCGUUACAUUUCGAAGAAGAUUAUUACAAUAGAAAGCCAUUUUUCCCCACCACAAAAUGGGUCUGAUCCUUUGUAGACAAUACUCAGGAUGAGGCCCACAACAUUACAGUCAACGGAUACUACCAAAGGAAAGAUUACAUAUACUAAUAAAAAGAAGCAUCAGUGACUUUGAGAUGGACUUGGAAACAUCACAAGAUGAGAGUGACAACAGCUAAUGAUAAAGGCAUCAUCAUCAAUGAAUGCCAAUGCCUCCAUUUUCUUCUUUAUGGAGUGAGGGAGGUAUAAACCCAUUUGCUUGAAUAUGAGUUACAUCCUUGUGGGUAUACAUGACCCCAUUAUCACCAUCCACUACCUGCCCACUACCUCUUAGAAUCCAUCUUGUUGUUAGCAAUCCUUCAACUCCAACAGGACCGCGAGCAUGAAUUCUACUUGUACUUAUUCCGACCUCUGCACCUAAACCAAAUCGAGCCCCAUCACAGAAUCUUGUGCUUGCAUUAUGAAAUACAGCAGCACUGUCAACUUGACGUAGAAAAACUUCUGCAACUUCAUGAUCUUCUGCUAUGAUACAAUCAGUAUGUGCACUUCCAUGUUGAUGUAUAUGAUCAAUGGCAGCAUACACAUCAUCAACAAUUUCUAUAGUGCAAGUCAUAGAAUUGUACUCAUGAUGAAAUGAAUGCGCUUCUGGAAGGUUCAGUUCCUUGCUUGCCCUUGGUCCCCCAUACAAAUUAACACCUUCAGUGCGAAGAUCAACUGUCAGAUCAUUUAUGUCACCAGUCUGCACCAAAUCCUUGUGCACAAGAAGGGUUUCCAUUGAAUUGCAGGCAGCUGGAUAAUCUACUUUUGCAUCCAAGACAAUGUGCUUAGCCAUUUCCAUAUUGGCGGACUUAUCAACAUAUACAUGACAAAUUCCAUCAGCAUGACCCAGAACUGGGAUUUUAGUUGAUGCUUUGAUUUGAGAAACAAGUUUAUUGCUGCCUCUUGGGAUAACAAGAUCAAUCACAUCAUCAAGCUUAAGCAGAUCAGGAAUUUCCUCUCUUGAUGUCACCAAUCCAAUAAGUCUUCCACCAACAGAUUCUGGGAUGGCUGAAGUGAUAACCUUGUGCAGAAUUUCAUUUGACCGCUUGGCCUCCUUUCCUCCUUUCAAGAGGAGCGCAUUCCCACUUCGAAUUGCCAAGGAAGAUAUCUAUUGAAACCAUAAAAAGUUUACACGAAGCAGAAAAUAAAACAGACAACUGAUAAUGCAAACACGUACAAACGACAAGUUCCUUUAAUUUGACAAGCACAUAAUGAUAAUUCUAUUCAUUAUUUAGAUCACAACAUAAUAACAGCAUGUAGCCAGUACUCAUGUCCACAAUAUUGCCUGCCUGCUCACACAGCAACCCAUACAGUCAGGAAGAAAAAUGAUGAGCAAAUGAAGAUGAUUUUUUAAAAGUAGUACCAACUAUAAGAUCUGAAUAUUAGAAUUUCACUUUAUCCUGUCCUCAUCCCAAGACCAUGAAUUAAAUAGAGUUCAACCCAUCAUAUGGUAAUAAAACAUGUAUUCUUAUCUACCUGCACCAGCGCAUCUGGUCGAGACUCAAAAAUAAUCAGAAGAACACCUAAAGGAGAUGAUGUCUUCUCUAAGAGGAGUCCAUCAGCAAGCUCAGUUCUUUUCAAAACAUGACCAAUUGGAUCUUCCAUGUUUGCAAGCACACGAAUUGAAUUUGCAAGGCCUUUAAUCUUUCCAGGCUUUAAAGCCAGCCGAGAUAUUAAGGAUUUUUCCAAUCCAGCCUGUUGUGCAGCAGUAACAUCAGCUUCAUUUUCAAUGUUGAUCAGUUUUUCAUUGGCUUCCAAGGCAUCAGCUAUAUCCAGCAAAAUUUUUCUCCUAUCUUGUGAAGACAAUGCCUGAAGCCGUCUGGAACUCUCCCUUGCGGCAACUGCCAUCUCACGUGCACCAAAGUCUUUAACUGGGGCCCAUGAAUGUGCAUCCUGAUGAAAGAGGGUGCCAACACACUCUCCUCGAAGGACUCUAAUUAUGUUCUCAGGAGCAUACCCACUGGUUAUAACAACAGGGACACCAGCAUAAGCUGCAUUGACAGCAGCUUUUACUUUGGCUGUCAUGCCCCCUCUUCCAACCCUAGACUUGUCACCAAAAGUAAUUUCUCCCUGAUGUAUUUCCUUAAUGUAUGUAUGAAUCAGCUUGGAGCGUGGGUCACUAGGAGGGCCACUAUAAAGACCCUCCACAUCACUCAACAGGAUGAGAAGAUCAGCUUUCAGCUCUAAAGCUAGCAAAGCUGAUAAACUGUCAUUAUCCCAAAAAAUACCAGAAGAAUCCUCAUAUGGAGCUCUCCUAGUACUGACAGCAUCAUUUUCAUUAAAUAUAGGGAUAACCCUCAGAGCUAACAGUGAUUUCACAGUAUCAUUAAGUUGCUUCCUAAACUCUUUAUCCCUAAAAUCAUUAUCGGUCACGAGAAGCUGUGCUGAUGUCACGUCCAACUGACUAAACAAUGUAUCAUAAAGAGCCAUCAGACUGUUUUGUCCAACAGCUGCGCAUGCCUUCCCAUCCAUUUCACGUUGUGGCUUUUGGAGGUCAGCAAAGCUGCUAUUGACUAAUUUCCGGUAUCUUAGCCUCUGGCGACCAAUGCCAACGGCACCUGAUGACACCAAAAUAACUUCAUAACCUUCAGAGUUCAACUCUUUAAUCUGCUCACAAAGAGCUCCUAGUUUCCCAAGGGCCAAUCUCCCAUCGCUUCUAGUCACAACAGCAGUCCCAACCUUGAUGACAAGACGCUUAACGUCUUUGAAAAAAGCGCGAGUCCGAUCCAUGCCAUCAUUCAUGGCGGAGAUUCAAGCUUCAAGCUCAAAGAGAGAGAAUUUAAGAAAAGCGAAGAGUAAAGUCGAGUCAACUCGGUCGAUAAUACGAGGGGACUCGGAAGUGCGAGAAACAGAUCAAGACAAACACAGCUUGAAAAGGGCGUCACUGGUAAUGAUGUGAAGAGCUGCUGAGAGAAAAUAAGCGAUUGAUAUAGCAGUCAUAUGGACCAACAAAACGACAAAAAAGUGGAGUCGUGUCCCGUCUUCUCGCUUGGGUUAUAUAAAUAGGUGUCCACGUUAUGAUCUUUUUUUAAUCAUGAAAGUUAGUAAUCUGUGUGUGAUCUAUGUUUUCACGUGAGGGCCUUUCGGCGGCUGGUUACAUCCACGAACAGAGCCCGUAGACCUCAGACACCUAGUGCCGUGGGUUUUUGAUUCCUAUGGCACUUGUCAGCGAAAGAAAUUUGUGGCGAGAUGAAGUUGCAUCUGUGACCCACCAAGGUGUUCGUGUAAAUGCCCAAGUGAACAUUUGAGCUUCAAUUUCAAAGAUUAUGUAUGCAUACCGAAUCAGGUAAAAGUUCA